AACCAUUGAGGUUUUAGUUUUGCAAAAGCUAUAUAAGAUUUUAUUCUCAUACCCUGUUUGUUU
rnacentral:tRNA from 1 species